rnacentral:rRNA from 1 species
AUUGAACGCUGGCGGCAUGCCUUACACAUGCAAGUCGAACGGCAGCGCGGACUUCGGUCUGGCGGCGAGUGGCGAACGGGUGAGUAAUACAUCGGAACGUACCCUGUUGUGGGGGAUAACUAGUCGAAAGAUUAGCUAAUACCGCAUACGAUCUGAGGGUGAAAGUGGGGGACCGCAAGGCCUCACGCAGCAGGAGCGGCCGAUGUCUGAUUAGCUAGUUGGUGGGGGAAAGGCCAACCAAGGCGACGAUCAGUAGCUGGUCUGAGAGGACGAUCCGCCACUCUGGGACUGAGACACGGGCCAGACUCCUACGAGAGGCAGCAGUGGGGAAUUUUGGACAAUGGGGGCAGCCCUGAUCCAGCAAUGCCGCGUGUGUGAAGAAGGCCUUCGGGUUGUAAAGCACUUUUGUCCGGAAAGAAAUCGCGCUGGUUAAUACCUGGCGUGGAUGACGGUACCGGAAGAAUAAGCACCGGCUAACUACGUGCCAGCCGCCGCAGUAA